GAUGAACGCUAGCUACAGGCUUAACACAUGCAAGUCGAGGGGAAACGAUAUUGGAGGCUUGCUUCCGAUAGGCGUCGACCGGCGCACGGGUGAGUAACGCGUAUCCAACCUGCCCAUCACUUGGGGAUAACCUUGCGAAAGUAAGACUAAUACCCAAUGAUAUCUCUAGAAGACAUCUGAAAGGGAUUAAAGAUUUAUCGUUGAUGGAUGGGGAUGCGUCUGAUUAGCUUGUUGGCGGGGUAACGGCCCACCAAGGCGACGAUCAGUAGGGGUUGUGAGAGGAAGGGCCCCAACAGUAGAACUGAGAGACGGUCCAAACUCCUACGGGAGGCAGCAGUGAGGAAUAUUGGUGAAUGGAGGAGCGUCUGAACCAGCCAAGUAGCGUGCAGGAUGACGGCCCUAUGGGUUGUAAACUGCUUUAUAAGGGAAUACAGUGAGCCUCGUGAGGCUUUUUGCAUGUACCUUAUGAAUAAGGACCGGCUAAUUCCGUGCCAGCCGCCGCAGUAA
rnacentral:rRNA from 1 species